rnacentral:rRNA from 1 species
UGUUGAUUUGCCAUGGGCGCAAGCCUGAUGCAGCGACGCCGCGUGAGGGAUGACGGCCUUCGUUUUGUAAACCUCUUUCAGUAGGGAAGAAGCGAGAGUGACGGUACCUGCAGUUGAAGCGCCGGCUAACUACGUGCCAGCAGCCGGCGGUAAUA